rnacentral:rRNA from 1 species
AUACAGAGGGUGCGAGCGUUAAUCGGAAUUACUGGGCGUAAAGCGCGCGUAGGCGGCUUGGUCAGUCGGAUGUGAAAGCCCCGGGCUCAACCUGGGAAUGGCAUUCGAUACUGCCAGGCUAGAGUAUGGGAGAGGGAAGUGGAAUUUCCGGUGUAGCGAUGAAAUGAGUAGAUAUCGGAAAGAACACCAGUGGCGAAGGCGACUUCCUGGCCCGAUACUGAUGCUGAGGUGCGAAAGCGUGGGGAGCGAACAGGAUUAGAAACCCUAGUAGUCC